rnacentral:rRNA from 1 species
AUUGAACGCUGGCGGCAUGCCUUACACAUGCAAGUCGAACGGCAGCACGGGAGCUUGCUCCUGGUGGCGAGUGGCGAACGGGUGAGUAAUACAUCGGAACGUACCUGAAGUGGGGGAUAACGUAGCGAAAGUUACGCUAAUACCGCAUAUUCUGUGAGCAGGAAAGAGGGGGAUCGCAAGACCUCUUGCUUUAGGAGCGGCCGAUGUCGGAUUAGCUAGUUGGUGAGGUAAAGGCUCACCAAGGCGACGAUCCGUAGCGGGUCUGAGAGGAUGAUCCGCCACACUGGGACUGAGACACGGCCCAGACUCCUACGGGAGGCAGCAGU